rnacentral:misc_RNA from 1 species
AAGUCGUAACAAGGUUUCCGUAGGUGAACCUGCGGAAGGAUCAUUAACGAAUUGUGAAGGGAAGUUGAUGCUGGCGGCUUUCGGGCUGCAUGUGCUUGCUUCCCGACCUUUCUAUCCACACACCCGUGAACCCCAUAAUCGAGGGAGAAGAGUUUUUAACUAAGCUCUCUUUCUCUUUUUACUACAUACCUACCCCCAUGUUACUAAACUAUUGAACGUGAUAGUGCCGAAAGGCCAUAAUCAAAUAUACAA